UGACAAUAGAAACUUAUAUUGGGAAGUUGUCAUUUCUACAGUAAAAACAGCUUUUUUUUCAAGUAGUACGAAUUGUGACUUCGAUUUAUCUGUGGAACUAUUUGAACAGAAGGUAGAGCAGUAAUUUUGUUGUAUUUAGAAAGCAAACAGGGUCAUAUUUUUAAAAAUAUAGCGCACUGAAUAUAAAUUUGACCAUCAUUAAAAUGUGUUCGCUAUGAUGCCAUUUUGUCUCCGGUAUAUACGGAGUUCUGCUUUUAUACUUGUGGAUAUUCGAAUUUAAUUGGCUCAAAAACACCAUUACUUCAAUAUCCCUUUCUUGUUUUUCCUUGGAUAGGUUUUAACAAGAUAGAACUCUAGAUCCCUUGGGUCCAAAGACGCUAGAUUAUAAAAUCCUGAUGUGACUUGAUACUGCAAAUAGAAUAUGUCUUACGAUUUAAUACUACAAAUAAAAUGUCUUUUAAGUACAAACUUCAAUGAAUUGAUAAAGUGUAAGGAUAGUGUUUAAAGUCGCUUCAUGUGUAGAAGCUGAAUUACUUUAGUUUAUACACUGUAUAUUGUCGAGAU